CAUGUGGGCACACAGAAGACUAGACUUAGAAAUAGUUAGGGCAAGGGGGUUUCAGGUAGAUGCGGGGCUGCUCUUUGGUUGCGGGUUGUUUUUGGGGUGGUGGUGCACCUGUGCUUCCAAUUGAGUGCUGGUCUGAAUUAUCAUGUAUGACGCCAAAUAAUUAGGCAUUGGAAGCCAUUCAAGUUUUCGACUUAGGGAGAAAAUGAGUAAAACAGAAUCGAUGGAUGAAUUCUUUGCAAAUCCCUCUGAAGUUUUUUUGGAGGGAUUAACUAAAGAACAAUUACGAGAGGUGGCUGAGCAUUAUCACUUUGAACGAGAACUGCCAAGGGACUGGAAGAAGGAACAGUUAAAAAACAAGGUGAAAGAGAAACUGAGAGAAUUGUUCAUUACUUUGGUUAACCCUGCCAAGCCUAUUCUGACAGACUACUCUACUCCCGAGCGCGUUGGGUCAGACAAUCAACUUUUAGAUAAUAAUCCAUUGACGUUUGAGCAGCAGAUGGAGCUUUUAAAGCUUCAAAAUGAACAACGACGCUGGGAGGCCGCAGAACAUGAUAGAAUGCGUGAAAGAGAACUUGCGUUUCAGGAGAAGCGUUUUGAAGUUGAAAUAGAAAAACUUAGGCAACAGGAAAGGCAGGAAGAGAGGGAAGACGCACUAAAGAGAGAGCGACUGAGAUUAAUAGCUGACGGGAAAAUACAGGAUGGUGGUACUGGGUCGUCGGGUGGGAUGGGCGCAGAGGGAAACCUCUCCCAUAUGAUUAGGUUUUUACCAAAAUUCAAUGACCGGGAUCCUGAUAUUUUCUUUUCUCUUUUUGAAGGCCUUGCUGAUGAGCGCGGUUGGAGCGAUUCUGAACGUACCCUUUUGCUCCAAACCGUUUUUUCUGGCCGAGCUCAAGACGCAUAAUUAUGUAGCUUUGUCGGUGACUGAGCGGAAAAUAUAUCACAGUGUUAAGGAGGCGGUUUUAAGAGCGUAUGAACCAGUGCCAGAGUUCUAUAGACAGCGG
ensembl:lncRNA